GAUGAACGCUGGCGGCAGGCCUAACACAUGCAAGUCGAACGUGAAGCCACCUUCGGGUGGUGGAAAGUGGCAGACGGGUGAGUAACGCGUGGGAACGUGCCUUUCGGUUCGGAAUAACCCAGAGAAACUUGGGCUAAUACCGGAUACGCCCUUCGGGGGAAAGAUUCAUCGCCGAAAGAUCGGCCCGCGUCGGAUUAGCUAGUUGGUGAGGUAAUGGCUCACCAAGGCGACGAUCCGUAGCUGGUCUGAGAGGAUGACCAGCCACACUGGGACUGAGACACGGCCCAGACUCCUACGGGAGGCAGCAGUGGGGAAUAUUGGACAAUGGGCGCAAGCCUGAUCCAGCCAUGCCGCGUGGGUGAAGAAGGCCUUAGGGUUGUAAACCCCUUUCAGCGGGGAAGAUAAUGACGGUACCCGCAGAAGAAGUCCCGGCUAACUCCGUGCCAGCAGCCGCAGUAAAAC
rnacentral:rRNA from 1 species